UAGGGAAUCUUGCACAAUGGGCGAAAGCCUGAUGCAGCGACGCCGCGUGCGGGAAGAAGGCCUUAGGGUUGUAAACCGCUUUCAGCAGGGAAGAAAAUGACGGUACCUGUAGAAGAAGGUGCGGCCAACUACGUGCCAGCAGCCGCGGUGACACGUAGGCACCAAGCGUUGUCCGGAUUUAUUGGGCGUAAAGAGCUCGUAGGCGGUUCAGUUAGUCGGGUGUGAAAACUCUGGGCUUAACCCAGAGACGCCACCCGAUACUGCUGUGACUUGAGUACGGUAGGGGAGCGGGGAACUCCUGGUGUAGCGGUGAAAUGCGCAGAUAUCAGGAAGAACACCAGUGGCGAAGGCGCCGCUCUGGGCCGUUACUGACGCUGAGGAGCGAAAGCGUGGGGAGCAAACAGGAUUAGAUACCCUGGUAGUCCACGCCGUAAACGUUGGGCACUAGGUGUGGGUCUCAACCAACGAGAUCCGCGCCGUCGCUAACGCAUUAAGUGCCCCGCCUGGGGAGUACGGUCGCAAGACUA
rnacentral:rRNA from 1 species